GCGAAAUUCAGCAUUUUCUGCAUUGUGUACCGGUACAGUCAUCACCCUGUACCGGUGCAGCAAGCAACAGCAGCUGCAGCUGCGUGGCAGCAAGGCUAUUUUAGUCAUUUCACUUCAUCUAUCCAUCCUUAUCCCUCCCAGCUCGACCCUGAAGAUGCUUAUCACUUGUAAGCUCAGAGAAAUAGGGUUUCUAAGCUCCCCUCUUCUUUCUCUCUCUAGAAUUUUCUCCCUCUACGUAGAAGUUGUCGUUUUGCACCGAUUUCGCGUCGCGUUCGUGGCUCGCAGGUUCGGAGACUCAGAGGAUGUCUUUGGUGCGUGGGGAGAAGGAUUUUUGUUGAAUUUUCUGUGAGUUCACAGCAGGGAAAGCUGAUUCUCAGCUUUAGACAACUGAGUUUGAGAAGGAUUCUAGCAGCUUGAGAGGAGUUAGUUAGUUGUGAUUUAACUAUCUGGGACCAGGGUUAAGCUACUUCAAGGCUGGACAAAGCAGGUUUUUAAGCCUCUUUGAGCUGAACCUGUGCUCUUGAAAGCUGGUUUGGGAGGCUAUUUUAAGCAAGGUAAGAGCGCGAUCGAGCCUUGGAUUAUCUUCAGUGGGCAUUGGAGAGCAAUUGGAGACUUAAUUUGAGCAGAGCUGAGACCUUGUGGAGCUAAUUUUGAGACUUCCUUUGGACUGAUUGGAGCCUAGUAAUAGAGCCAUCUACAGGAGAGGCUUGGGAUCGUAGCAAGGGAGUCGC